rnacentral:sRNA from 1 species
GUCCGCGCCAUGGCCGCCUCGCCGGGCUCGGGCAGCGCCAACCCGCGGAAGUUCAGUGAGAAGAUCGCGCUGCACACGCAGAGACAGGCCGAGGAGACGCGGGCCUUCGAGCAGCUCAUGACCGACCUCACCCUGUCGCGGGUUCAAUUUCAGAAGCUUCAGCAACUGCGCCUUACACAGUACCAUGGAGGAUCCUUACCAAAUGUGAGCCAGCUGCGGAGCAGUGCGUCAGAGUUUCAGAUUCUGUAUUUAUUUGAGCUGCCCAGCCCAGGCCUGCAGGAUAGGGCCCCACUCCAUCAAGGCUCCUGUUUCCUCCUGAGCCCGAGCAGAUGAUACCUUCUCUUAUAGCCUCCAUCCUUCUUCCCAGAACACUCCAGGUACUAUUUUCUAUUUUCUGGGGGCAUUUGGCAUAGUUCACUGUUUCCUGAGAGGCAGCAUAGCUUAGCGGAGAGCUCUCAGGCUUUGGUGUCAGUGAUUUGUGGGUCUGACCCCUGAUCCACCAGGCGUGCUAUCUGAUCUUGGAUUUCUCAGCUCUUCUAGAACUGAGCCUCAGUUUCUUCAGCUAUAAAAUGGGGAAAAUAU